AGUCGAACCUUCUUUCCUCCCGAGUGCUUGCACUCAAUUGGAAAGAGGAGUGGCGGACGGGUGAGUAACACGUGGGUAACCUACCCAUCAGAGGGGGAUAACACUUGGAAACAGGUGCUAAUACCGCAUAACAGUUUAUGCCGCAUGGCAUAAGAGUGAAAGGCGCUUUCGGGUGUCGCUGAUGGAUGGACCCGCGGUGCAUUAGCUAGUUGGUGAGGUAACGGCUCACCAAGGCCACGAUGCAUAGCCGACCUGAGAGGGUGAUCGGCCACACUGGGACUGAGACACGGCCCAGACUCCUACGGGAGGCAGCAGUAGGGAAUCUUCGGCAAUGGACGAAAGUCUGACCGAGCAACGCCGCGUGAGUGAAGAAGGUUUUCGGAUCGUAAAACUCUGUUGUUAGAGAAGAACAAGGACGUUAGUAACUGAACGUCCCCUGACGGUAUCUAACCAGAAAGCCACGGCUAACUACGUGCCAGCAGCCGCGGUAAUACGUAGGUGGCAAGCGUUGUCCGGAUUUAUUGGGCGUAAAGCGAGCGCAGGCGGUUUCUUAAGUCUGAUGUGAAAGCCCCCGGCUCAACCGGGGAGGGUCAUUGGAAACUGGGAGACUUGAGUGCAGAAGAGGAGAGUGGAAUUCCAUGUGUAGCGGUGAAAUGCGUAGAUAUAUGGAGGAACACCAGUGGCGAAGGCGGCUCUCUGGUCUGUAACUGACGCUG
rnacentral:rRNA from 1 species